CUCUUCGUAGCCGGGCCUUGACCUCCAGAUCGCCCGGGCUGUGCGCGCGGGAGGGCAGGGCAGAGCGCUGGGGCUGACCUCUCCGGCCUCGAAGAGCGCCCCGCGUGCCCACACUGCCUGCCGGAGGAGCUGCUCCGAUACCUGCCCACCACGAACUGUCACCCAGCAUCCAGGGUUGGGGCCGAGGAGGAGAGAGAUGCUGAGACACCCGGCCACACACUCAACCUCCAGAGUGAGGCAGAUCCCAGGCGGGCACUAGAUGGAUGUUCUGUUCGUGGGUCAUCACCUCUCCUCCUAGAACUCCAAUUACCACCAAGAGCUAUCUGUCUCUGUUCCCGAGUUCCUGAAGCUCUAGACCAGUGAUGGAGAACCCUUUGAGCUCGGCGUGUCAGCAUUUUGAAAAACCCUAACUUAACUCUGGUGCCGUGUCACAUAUAGAAAUUUUUUGAUAUCUGCAACCAUAGUAAAAC